rnacentral:misc_RNA from 1 species
GAAAUGCGAUAAGUCAUGUGAAUUGCAGAAUUCUGUGAAUCAUCGAAUCUUUGAACGCAAAUUGUGCUCUGAGGACCUCCUCAGAGCGUGUUUGUUUGAGUGCCGUAUAAAAUUACUCAAGAAAUAUCCAUUUUUGGUCUUUUCUUGGAAUUGGAAGUUUAUUCUAAUCGAAUAAUCUUCUUAAAUAUAUGAAUUUGUUCUUAGUGAUGAACGAAUAGAAAUACAAACAUGUUAAGCAAUUUUCCAUUGCAUUAUCUAUGUUCGUGUUCUUUCUAGUAUUCAAUAAACAAAACAAAUUCACGUAAUCUACUUUUAUACGAUCAAAUUCUCGGCCUCAAAUCAAGCAAGGCUACCCGCUGAAUUUAA